rfam:Ornithorhynchus anatinus chromosome 3, whole genome shotgun sequence.
AGCAGCGUGGUUCAGUGGGAAAGAACCUGGGCUUCGGAGUCAGAGGUCAUGAGUUCGACUCCCAGCUCUGCCA